UAAAGUCAUGGAUUUUGAAUGGCAUGAAGGUGAUGGUGACAGUUUUUAUGUGAACUAUCGCUUUAAAAUAGUGUAGACCAUCAGGAACAAUGGUCUAAAUCAAUUAUAUAACAGGCUAGAAGGUUUUGGGUUGUUCAGAAGUAUUUGUAAUAGACUUAAUCUGAGUGGGCAACUGGAUCAAAAGAUUUGGAUCUGGAACUCGGCUGAUUGUAACUGGUCCAGGAAACACGGUUGAGUCACCAAAGGUGUCUGGAUACCUACCGUCAAAGAAAUACAGUGACAAACAUGGCAAACAGACAAUGUUAUGCCAUGCAAGUGGCACGGUUCCUUACUUGGUGAAAUUCACAUGGGCAAAAAAGAGCGAAACAGAAGAAUGGACGGCUGUACCAAAGGAAGAUGUUGUGGAACAGAGUUACAAAGAUAAAAAAAUUGUGACAAGUAUGAUGAUUGUAGAUAAAAACACGGCCGAAAACAACAGCUACCAAUGCACUGUUACCAUUGACGGAAUCACUGAGAACCCCCAAAUUCUUGAAAUGAAGAGAGAAGACAUUAAAACAGCAAAGGGACCUAGCCCAACAUGUCCACCCGACUCUGAGGAUUUGGAUGGAUUUUUUUAA
rnacentral:lncRNA from 1 species